AUUGAACGCUGGCGGCAGGUCUAACACAUGCAAGUCGAGCGGAUGAAGGGAGCUUGCUCCUGGAUUCAGCGGCGGACGGGUGAGUAAUGCCUAGGAAUCUGCCUGGUAGUGGGGGAUAACGUCCGGAAACGGGCGCUAAUACCGCAUACGUCCUGAGGGAGAAAGUGGGGGAUCUUCGGACCUCACGCUAUCAGAUGAGCCUAGGUCGGAUUAGCUAGUUGGUGGGGUAAAGGCCUACCAAGGCGACGAUCCGUAACUGGUCUGAGAGGAUGAUCAGUCACACUGGAACUGAGACACGGUCCAGACUCCUACGGGAGGCAGCAGUGGGGAAUAUUGGACAAUGGGCGAAAGCCUGAUCCAGCCAUGCCGCGUGUGUGAAGAAGGUCUUCGGAUUGUAAAGCACUUUAAGUGGGGAGGAAGGGCAGUAAGUUAAUACCUUGCUGUUUUGACGUUACCAACAGAAUAAGCACCGGCUAACUUCGUG
rnacentral:rRNA from 1 species